rnacentral:rRNA from 1 species
UACGGAGGGUGCAAGCGUUAUCCGGAUUCACUGGGUUUAAAGGGAGCGUAGGUGGGAUGGUAAGUCAGUGGUGAAAUCUCCGGGCUUAACUCGGAACUGCCGUUGAUACUAUCAUUCUUGAAUAUUGUGGAGGUAAGCGGAAUAUGUCAUGUAGCGGUGAAAUGCUUAGAUAUGACAUAGAACACCAAUAGCGAAGGCAGCUUGCUACACAAUUAUUGACACUGAGGCUCGAAAAGCGUGGGGGAGUCAAAACAGGGA